rnacentral:lncRNA from 1 species
ACCAGAGUUCUCCUCUCCUAGUGACUCCCAUUAACACCGUUUCCCCCAAUCCAAACCCUGAUCAAGAGGGUUCGAGUUCAAAUCCCCAGUCCACAGCAACCAUGGGGAAGAAUCCGCCCUCGAUACCUUCUCUGCCACCUACUGACUUCUUUAAGGAUGGGGAACAGUUUCCUCAUGCCAAUACCCCCUCUACUGUUACGGAAGCUGAAAUACGUAUCCUCCGGACUCGCUAUCAGAUUCCGGAUAUGUACGCAACAAGGGCUCCUGCUCCCGAAGAACGCAUGUACCAUCGACCGGAUGGUUGGGUCGCCAUGCC